rnacentral:rRNA from 1 species
ACUCCUACGGGGAGGCAGCAGGAUUAGGCAUUCCAGCAAUGACGAAAGUCUGACGGAGCAAUGCCGCGUGAGUGAUGAAGGUUUUCGAAUCGUAAAGCUCUGUUGUAAGGGAAGAAUAGCAAGAAUAGGAAAUGAUUCUUGUCUGACGGUACCUUACCAGAAAGCCACGGCUAACUACGUGCCAGCAGCCGCGGUAAUACGUAGGUGGCAAGCGUUAUCCGGAAUUAUUGGGCGUAAAGCGCAUGUAGGCGGCUCUUUAAGUCUGAUGUGAAAGCCUGUGGCUCAACCACAGAAUUGCAUUGGAUACUGGAGAGCUAGAAUCUUGGAGAGGUAAGUGGAAUUUCAUGUGUAGCGGUGGAAUGCGUAGAUAUAUGAAGGAACACCAAUGGCGAAGGCAGAUCACUAACCCCUAAAUUGACGCUGAGGGACGAAAGCGUGGGGAGCGAACAGGAUUAGAUACCCUGGUAGACUGU